rnacentral:rRNA from 1 species
GGGCCCGCACAAGCGGUGGAGUAUGUGGUUUAAUUCGAUGCAACGCGAAGAACCUUACCAGGGUUUGACAUCCUGCGAAUCUCUUGGAAACGAGAGAGUGCCUUCGGGAACGCAGUGACAGGUGGUGCAUGGCUGUCGUCAGCUCGUGUCGUGAGAUGUUGGGUUAAGUCCCGCAACGAGCGCAACCCACGUCUUUAGUUGCCAGCAUUUAGUUGGGCACUCUAGAGAGACUGCCGGUGAUAAACCGGAGGAAGGUGUGGAUGACGUCAAGUCAUCAUGCCCCUUACAUCCUGGGCUACACACGUACUACAAUGCUACGGACAAAGGGCAGCAAACUCGCGAGAGCUAGCAAAUCCCAUAAACCGUGGCUCAGUUCAGAUCGUAGGCUGCAACUCGCCUACGUGAAGGAGGAAUCGCUAG